rnacentral:rRNA from 1 species
GAUGAACGCUGGCGGCGUGCCUAAUACAUGCAAGUCGAGCGAACAGACGAGGAGCUUGCUCCUCUGACGUUAGCGGCGGACGGGUGAGUAACACGUGGAUAACCUACCUAUAAGACUGGGAUAACUUCGGGAAACCGGAGCUAAUACCGGAUAAUAUAUUGAACCGCAUGGGUCAAUAGUGAAAGACGGUUUUGCUGUCACUUAUAGAUGGAUCCGCGCCGCAUUAGCUAGUUGGUAAGGUAACGGCUUACCAAGGCGACGAUGCGUAGCCGACCUGAGAGGGUGAUCGGCCACACGGGAACUGAGACACGGUCCAGACUCCUACGGGAGGCAGCAGUAGGGAAUCUUCCGCAAUGGGCGAAAGCCUGACGGAGCAACGCCGCGUGAGUGAUGAAGGUCUUCGGAUCGUAAAACUCUGUUAUUAGGGAAGAACAAAUGUGUAAGUAACUAUGCACGUCUUGACGGUACCUAAUCAGAAAGCCACGGCUAACUACGUG